GAUCAUUUAAGAAAAAAACUGUUUAUAAACAGACGGUAGACUUUUCUUGGGGAGAGGUUGUUGAUUGCUUUGGCCUGCGCUUAACUGCGCGGCUAGUAGUUGAUGAUUUUGUUAUUAUCCGAGACGAAGGAAACGUCUGAUUUUAAAAACAUUAUACACUUUGGAGUACUUUUUUUAAUGUAUUUCUUCCUUGGACGAGCAAUUGUUCAAGGGUCAAUAAACACAAACAAUUUUUUUUUUAUUUAAAUUUAAAAUAAUUCAAAAUAUAUCAUUUCUUUUAUUAGGAAUAUAAAAAUUUUAAAACUUUCAACAACGGAUCUCUUGGUUCUCGCAUCGAUGAAGAACGUAGCGAAUUGCGAUAAGUAAUGUGAAUUGCAGAUUUUCGUGAAUCAUUGAAUUUUUGAACGCACAUUGCGCCCUUUGGUAUUCCAAAGGGCAUGCCUGUUUGAGCGUCAUUUCCUUCUCAAAAGAGUUUUUUUAUUCUUUUGGUUGUGAGUGAUACUCUUUCCUUUUACAGGGAAGGGGUUAACUUGAAAUUGUUGCCUAGCAAAGAAGAAUUUUGAUUGAAAUUUCUUGUUUAUUACUAUUAGGUUUAUCCCAACUAGUGAUUAUUGAGAGUUUUUAUUACAGAGUCUUUUCACUUGCUAUAAUACUAUUCUAUAAGUUUGACCUCAAAUCAGGUAGGAAUACCCGCUGAACUUA
rnacentral:misc_RNA from 1 species